rnacentral:rRNA from 1 species
GAUGAACGCUCGCGGCAGGCCUAACACAUGCAAGUCGAGGGAGAGGUUACCUUCGGGUAACCAAAACCGGCGCACGGGUGCGUAACGCGUAUACAAUCUGCCUUUCACAUAGGGAUAGCCCGAAGAAAUUUGGAUUAAUACCUAAUGGUAUAUAAGAGCGGCAUCGUUUUUAUAUUAAAGCUACGGCGGUGAAAGAUGAGUAUGCGUUCUAUUAGCUAGUUGGAGAGGUAACGGCUCCCCAAGGCGACGAUAGAUAGGGGUUCUGAGAGGGAUGUCCCCCACACUGGUACUGAGAUACGGACCAGACUCCUACGGGAGGCAGCAGUGAGGAAUAUUGGACAAUGGUCGGAAGACUGAUCCAGCCAUGCCGCGUGCAGGAUGAAGGUCCUAUGGAUUGUAAACUGCUUUUGUAAGGGAAGAAUAAGGAGUACGUGUACUUUGAUGACGGUACCUUACGAAUAAGCAUCGGCUAACUCCGUG